GUGAGGAAUUUUCCGCAAUGGGCGAAAGCCUGACGGAGCAAUGCCGCGUGAAGGAUGAAGGCCUAUGGGUUGUAAACUUCUUUUCUCAGAAAAGAAUUAUGACGGUAUCUGAGGAAUAAGCAUCGGCUAACUCUGUGCCAGCAGCCGCGGUAAUACGAAGGGGGCGAGCGUUAUUCGGAAUCACUGGGCGUAAAGCGUGCGUAGGCUGUUUUGUAAGUCAGAAGUGAAAGCCCAGGGCUUAACCCUGGAAUUGCUUUUGAAACUACAAGACUCGAAUUCGGGAGAGGAUAGCGGAAUUGUCAGUGUAGCAGUGAAAUGCGUAGAUAUUGACAGGAACACCAGUGGCGCAAGCGGCUAUCUGGACCGAUAUUGACGCUGAGGCACGAAAGCGUGGGGAGCAAACAGGAUUAGAUACCCCUGUAGUCC
rnacentral:rRNA from 1 species